CGAGAUGGCAUCGGAGGAGAUGGCUGCCAUUUCACAGGCUCUGAACCAAUUGUGCUAUUGUGUGUGCUUUGUCGCAUUAUUUGUAACUUAUUUUGUACAUAAUGUUUCUGCUACAGUCUCCUUUGACCGAAAAGAGCUCCUGGAUAUCAGUACAGCGAUUACUCACCUCGUACUGGACAAAGAUUUUUUCUUUAACGAGUCGGACGGAAAGGAUUUACUCAGACACCCAAAUCACCUUCAUUCGCAAGAGACCGAUAUAUUGGGGAUGUAAGUCAGGGUGCCUUGUAAGGAUCCGACAGCGAGUGGGUAAUCCACCUCCACCAUCAGUCCUAUUUGCCAAUGUGCAACCAUUGGAUAAUAAGUGGAUGAGCUCCGAUCAAGAAUAUCCUACCAACGGGACAUUAAAAAACUGUAAUAUCUUAUGUUUCACUGGGUCAUGGCUGAACAAUGACAUGGAUAACAUACAGCUGGCUGGGUUUUCGGUGCAUCGGGCAAGAUAGAACAGCUGCCUCUGGGAAGACAAGGAGUGGAGCCAUGGAGUGCCAGGUGGAGGAGCUGAGGCAGCAGCUGGAGAAACAGACCCUAGUCAACCAGGAGCUGCAGAACCACAACAAGGACCUGGAAAGAAGACUGCAGGAGACGGAGAAGUUGCUGCAGGAGCUUCAGAGUCAUUACCAUGACCUGGACUUCCCUGAUCAGAGGAUCAGUAAUGAAGGGGGACUUGUGGUCAGGAAGAGCAGAGUGGCUGUCAUGGCCCCUGAGCCAAUCCCAGAGGAUCAGCAGGAGAUCAUAAAGACUAAAGUCAAGAAGACCGUCAGUGAGACGAGUCUGAUCAUCAAGGCCAUCCAGAAGAAUGACUUCCUGAGUCGCCUUGACGAUGAGCAGAUAACCAUGAUGGUGGAGCUCCUGGUGGCAAUCGACUUCAAACCAGGAAAUGAUGUAAUCAAGGAGGGCACUGAGGGAGACAGCAUGUACAUCGUAGCAGCGGGUGAGCUCCUUGUCAGUCAAGCAGAUUGUAACCUUCGAACCCUGACCUGUGGGGAUGUUUUUGGAGAGUUGGCUAUUCUGUAUAACUGCAAACGCACAGCCACAGUCAAAGCCAAGACAGUGGUGCGUCUGUGGUUUAUGGAGAGACAGAUGUAUAGAACCAUCAUGACCAACAAGUCCAAGAAGAAACGUGAACAGCUAAUGGGCUUCCUAAAAACGUCUCGGACUCUGAAGGCCCUAAAUGACAGUCAGCUCUCUAAGAUAAUUGACUCCAUGGAGGAGGUGAAGUACCAGAACAAUGAUGUCAUUGUGCGUGAGGGGGCGGAGGGCAACACGUUCUACAUCAUUCUCAAAGGAGAGGUCAAGGUGACUAAGAAGUUGAAUGGGCAGGAGAAACAGAUUCGCAAGAUGGGCAAAGGGGAGCAUUUCGGGGAAUUGGCCCUGAUACGUGAAAUCCUGAGGACUGCAACAUGUACUGCUGUUGGCCCUGUGACCUGCAUCUCCAUCGAUAAGGAGGUGUUUGAGGAGACGAUCCCCAUUGAACACCUGGAGCUCCAUGAUGACAUCAGCUCUAUGGUUUUGGAGGAGCCAGAUGCUCCAGAGAAGACCAGUCCUAGUUCCUAUCUGAGACUGAAGGACCUGAUCCCCGUACUGUACCAGGAGGGGCGUUACCAGGGAGAACCUGUCACUCUCGGAGUGGGAGGGUUUGGUCGCGUUGAACUGGUGACCACUCUGCAUCAUGGAAAGUACUUUGCCAUGAAGAGGGUCAGUAAGAAACACAUUGUUGCCAAGCGACAGGAGGAGCACGUCCUGUUUGAGAAGAGGAUCCUCAAAGCCAUCAAGAGUGACUUCAUUGUCAGGCUCCAUUCUGCCUUCAAAGACACUCGCUACAUCUACAUGAUUAUGGAGUUCUGUGUAGGAGGGGAGAUCUGGACCAAGCUCAAAGAAGUUGGACGAUUUGAUGAGCCCAUUGCUGUAUUCUGCGCUGCCUGUGUAGUGGAGGCCUACGCCUACCUCCAUAAAAAGGGCAUCAUGUACAGAGACCUCAAGCCUGAGAAUUUGAUGCUGGAUGCCAAGGGCUACGUUAAACUGGUGGACUUUGGCUUUGCUAAGGAGUUAGUGCAUGGUAAUAAGACCUACUCAUUCUGUGGUACUCCAGAAUACAUGGCCCCAGAAAUCAUCCAGAACCAGGGACAUGACUUUGCUGCUGACUUCUGGUCCCUGGGCAUCCUAGUCUAUGAGCUGCUGGUGGGGAGACUGUUUUACCUUUCAGCCCUCCAUUCUCCAGUUCUGAGCCCGCGAAGAUCUACCCUAAAAUUUUGGACGGGGUGCUCAAGUUCCCACCUUACAUGGGCGAGGGGGCCAAGUCCCUCAUCAGUAAACUGUGCAGGCCUCGACCGGGUCAGAGGCUGGGAAACACCAAGAAUGGGAUUAAAGAUGUACGCCACCACAGGUGGUUCAGCAGUAUGAACUGGCACAAGCUGCGUGUGGGCCAGGUGGAGGCUCCUACAAUCAGACUCAUACGUAAGGUCAGUCUAGCCACAGCAGGGUCCGUGCUACAUCAACUUUGAUCGCUUCCCCUUCGACCAGGCUCUGGCUGAUGAGGAGUUCUCCGGCUGGGACAAAAACCUCUGACUUGAACCAGAACCUGAACCAGUCCAAGUGAGUCAGAGUUCAGAGGUCACGGGUUCACUGAUAGAUUUACCCAGAUCAGACUACUUCUUGGUGACAUUGGUUUACCCCUUACCUUUAAGACUCUGAACGCAAUGUAGGGGUAGGGACACAUGUGCUCAUUGAAAGCUGUAUGUGUGUGUUGUGCCCAAAAGAAAGAUUAAGUAAUUUAAGAAAAGUUUGGAUGAAAUGUCUCAUGCUGGACAAAGAUAUGGUUUUACCGUUGACCCUCAUUGUACUUUGUAAUUUAGGAUGGCAUUAUUGUUAGUCUCUGUUGCUUGUCUGUAUAGAAUACUCAGUGUAUGUGUUUCACAUUAAAAUAAAUGUAUACGUCACCAAUGACCCUUAAACGUGUACAUAGAGGGGAAAAGGUGCUUCAGUACAUGUCAACACUGCUGGGUGGAGGCUGAACAGGAAUGCAGUCUGUUCUAAAUGGAAUCCUAUACUGUGGUUUGGUACAGAGCACAGGUUUGGUAUGACGUCAAGUACUAUGUAGUAUUUGAACAUCAUUACACACUUCCUCAGUGUCUGUUAGCUUGACUUAAGCUAUUUUACUUGACUGUGGUGAAUCAAUCAAGUCAUCAGACCUCUAAGGACAAACAACUCUUAUCAGGAGGGAAUAACAAACAACAAAUCAAUAUGCCUAAUCUCUGAUUGUGGUCUGAAGUACAUCUGAUUUAUAUUGGAUUAAAAAGGAACUGGAUGAUUGAUCAAUAUGUUUGGUACAAGGGGAGUACAAAUUGCCAUUGACAAUACUACUUUUAUGAUUAAUAAUAUUUUGUAUAUGAUGCCAAGGACAGCUUCCAGUGUUUGUUACUACUGUUUUUCAUUUGUGUAAAUCUUCCAGGCCAUCUUUGUAUACUGAACAAAAUAUAAAUGAAACUGUGUUGGUUUCAUGUUUCAUGAACUGAAAUAAAAGAUCCCAGACAUUUUCAAUACA